rnacentral:lncRNA from 1 species
ACUAACUUAUGAUAUUAUUUUCUUAUUCCAAUUAUUAUUUAGUAAUUCAUGAAAUAGCUUAAAUACAAUCAACAAAAGGAACAAAGAAAAAAAAACGAAAUUAAAACUUCAAAUUUUCAUUCUUCAUAUGUAUCCACGCUUUAUAUUUCGGAUUACAAUAACCAGCUUUUCAGUUGUGUACCUGAUAUUGGAAGCAAAAGAAAAUGAAUAUGAGAAUCAGCAACAGCAGUAAAAUCAGUACAACACAGCAACAAUAGCCCAGCAACAGUAACAACCCAGUAACGGACCGGUGGAGUAGUAAUCCAAAAAAAAACAAAAG